GCCGAUUUAAAAUAUUUUCUAUUACAUAUGGCUAGAUUUACAAAUAAUCCUAAAGGAGAUUACUACAUGCAAUAUAUAAAUAAUCCUGUUGAUGAACCUAACCCCGAUUAUUUA